GAUUGGGCGAAAACCUAGCAUCUUACGAACCUUGGCACUGGAAGAAUUCACAGAUUGUAUUUGAAUCGUGAUUCUUUUAAUGCCAUAUUUCGUGGGAAGCGCAUCAUUACAAUGAUGGU
rnacentral:pre_miRNA from 15 species